CAAACAUCUCGCCAUUUCCAUCAAGGUCCUAUUCUUUUUUUCACACACUCCAUUUUGCUGAGGUGUGUAUGGAAUGGUCAGUUGAUAUUUGAUUCUAGCAGCCUUAAAGAAUUUAUCAAACUGAUCACACUUGUAGUCAAUUCCAUUAUCUAAUCUAAUGGCUUUAAUUCUGGAAUUGUACUCAUUUUCAACAUACUUUUAAACUUCUGGAACACACCAGCAACCUCAAACUUCAAUUUCAAGAAAUACACCCAACACAUCUUUAUUAAAUCAUUAAUGAAGAGUACAAAAUACCUACUGUCAUUCAGUGUUUGAGUUCUCAUAGGGCCGCAUACAUCAGAGUGGAUUAACACCAGUAUUUAUGUGGCUCUUCUUGACUGGUUUUUUUCAAAUGGCAGCCUGGUUUGUUUUCCUUGUUGACACACAUCACACACACAAGCUUCAUCACACAUAUCAGGCAUGUUUUCAGCAAGUUCAAGCUUGUGCAAAUGCUUAAGUGAUGUGUAAUUUGUAUGACCAAACCUUCUAUACAAAAGUGAGGACUCAUCAACAGUGCUUGAGAAUGCAUGAGUGAUCACAUUUUUCCAUUCUAAAGGGAAGCUUCUUUGCUUCAUCUCCACAGUCAUCAAUUCAUGGUUAUUUGAAUCUAAUAUAGUACAGCCAUUGCCUUUGAAAAUCAAUGUGUAUUUCUUCUCAAUUAAUUGGCCUACACUAAUUAAAUUCUUGUCUAUAUCAAGCACAUAGAGAACAUCAUAAAUAAGUUUAGUACCUGAUGGAGUUUGUACUGAAACCACACCAAUUCCUUUCAAUUCCACAUGUUCUCCAUUACCAACCUUGACCUUUGAUCUAUAAGCUUUAUUCAAUCCAACAAAAAUGUUGGGAUUUGAAGUCAUGUGGUGGGUACAUCCACUGUCCAGCAACGAACCUCCAAUAUUGCUGCACAUUUUGUAAUUUACAAAGUAAACAGAUGCUCUUCUUGCUUAUCUGGUUACUUAUUUUCAGCAACUUGUGCCUGUUGCUGACUCUAUUUCUCCUUCUGAUUUUUACAAAAUUUUUGAAUAUGUCCAAAUUAUUUGUAACCUCUACAUUGCACUCCUGGACUAUACCAGCACCAUUUUGGAGAAUGGCCAAUUUUCUUAAAAUGUGGAUAGGGAGGGUAGGCACAACUUUUAUCAACAACCUUGCUACCUUCAACCCUUUUCUUAUCUUGUUUGUGUUCUUCACACCAUAGCCGAUUUGUACCUUAUUUUUCCUUUAACAAACAAGUCACCUUCUACCUGAUCUUUUUGCUUCAUUAGCCUCCUUUGCUCAGUGGCUUGCAAAGCAUUAACUAACUCUAAUAAGGUUAUGGAGGACCGAUCUUUAGAGUUUUCAAGAGAUGAGAUUUUUGUCUCAAAAUUUUUUUGGCAAGCUGAUCAGCACCUUCUCCACAACACUCCUAUCAAGUAAGUCAUCUCCUAACAACCUUAUCUAGUUCACCACAUUUAUCAACCUGUCUGAGUAUUCUUUGACAGAUUCUGUGUCUUUCAUCUUCAAGGAUUCAUACUCCCUUCUUAAGUUCAAAACUAGCAUCUGAAGCAUUCUGGAUAAUAUAGCAUUAGAAACAGCAGAUUGUAUGCAAGACAAGGCCUUGAAUUUUUUUGUAACCUCCUCACUAUGUUGCUUCAAUUGAGCAAUUGUAGGAUUUGCCCUUAAAGUUGGUGGUUCAACACUUGAUUCUGUGAUCUCCCACAUAUCAUAAGCUUUUAGGUAUGCCUUCAUCUUUGCUACCUAGAAAUCAUAAUUUUCUCAUGUAAAAAUAGAAGGUAAAGGUGUUGAGAAGCCACUCGAAGCCAUCCUACUUAGAUUUAUUUUUCUCAUAUAUUUAUUUUUCUUGACUGAUAUGAUAAAGGGAUUUUGGUAGGAGUUUCCUCACUUGUCUUCUCUUUUUUCCUGUCUCACAAGCUUGCCUUUCCUUCAAAGAUCUUAUAAGCUCUGAUACCACUGAAUGAAUUUUAUCACAAAGAGGAAGAAAAAGAUAAAAACUUAAAAAAAAAUGAGCUACAAUCUUCAUUAUAAUCGGCUGCUAAUACAUAUAAGAUAAAAAAGGAUUACAACCAUGCUGUUGACUACCAACUACAACCAUACUUUCGACAGAUUAAUACCAUGCUUUGAUAGACAAUUUGAUAAUAAAAAUAAACAUUACAUAGACUUAAUUUUUAUACUUAAAGUCAUAAUACAAAAGGUGACAGCAAAAGUGGUAACAAAUAUCAAUAUAUUUUUCCUCCUUAAUUGUGUGUGCCCAUGGUUACAUGUUUCGCUUUGGAAUGUUGAAAGAUCAUUUGUGUGGUACUUGAAGAUUUAGCACCGACUGAGACCUUUUUCUUCCUCGACUGUUUAUACUAUGAAACUCAUCAAAGUUCUGCUCUUCCUCCAUCAACGGGGUGCAUAGCAAAUUACAUAUAUUAUAUGAUAUUUUCAUUCAUUUUGCAUUGAUGCUCAUUAUACUUGAGGAUAUUAAGAUUAGGUUUGCUUUUAUUCGUAUAUGCACAAUUGAGUGGGAUUAUCAUGUUCCGCUGUGUACUACCUCAGGACUAUUUUUUAUUUUUUUAAAUCUGGACACUUAGUUUAUGGGUGUUUAUUAAUUAUAGCAGGUUACGUUUGAUUUAGAGCAUGUUACACAUAUUGUACUUCCUUUGUAGUCCAUUGUGUAUUGGAGGUUGCUUCCGAUUAUCAUGUCAAGAAUCAAUUUGAGUAUUAUUGUCAAUAAAUUUCUCUGUUUUCUCUAAGAUGUAAUGUUUGUUGGUUUGUACUUUGAGCAAACUGUCUGCAUUUAAUAAUCUCCAAGGAUAGGAAGUCAUCAUAUAUUUCAUAUUUAUACCACAAUAAUUACAUAAUAAAACAUAGCUAUUAGUAAGACUUUACGGUUUGUUUUCCUUUUUUGCAGCUGUUGACUUUUUUAAUCAACUGAACUUUCUUUGUGCCAUCUCUCACUAAAUUUUGCACAGAAGCAAACUGUCCAAUAACGUCGGCAAGGCCUAAAUAUGUUUCCAAUUCCUCUUUGUAGUCCCUUCAUUCAUUUUUCAGAUAAUGGCAUAUGAUCAAUGAUUUAGGCAUUUAACCUCUCUCAACAUAAUUUUCAUGUCAUGAUAAAUAUGAACUUAUUGUUAAGGUGUAUAUAUAUAUAGCAUGUAUUAACUUUAUAAAGGCACUUCUUGCCG
rnacentral:lncRNA from 1 species